GGGCCGGUAGCUCAGUUUGUGGAGCCUCCAUCCAGUAUAGGAUGAACCUAGGUUCGACUCCUAGCCAGUCCA